GGCAACCCUAACACAGGAAUUAUUCAUGCAGUCACUCGAGAGCCUUGCAGGGCUGGAAUUCCAGCCAGUGUGACUCUUAGCAGGGCACUCUUGCUGCCAGCCUACUGGUUUCUCUCGCAGGGAGACGGGAGGGGACUUCGGAAUCCAUCCCGAGGUGUCUGAGUCAGUCCUGAGGACUCAUCUCAUCCACAGAGGACACUUUCCAGGAGCUCCGACUGAUGCAUGAACCUGUAGACGUGUCCUACGUGCUUUCCUGCACAGGCCUGAAUUUUCUUCUUAAAUGAACAACUGACUGCACUGCACCCUCGGUCUCUCACACCUGACAAGCCGCUCUCCCCUUGCUCUGUGUAGCUGCUCCCUCGGUCUCUGUUGUCAGUGGAUGGACUAGCACCUGCUUUGCUGCGGCCCCGCUGAGAGACACUGACUUGGUGCUGCACACCACUUGCCCUGUCUGCCACCCUUCGGCCCAGAUGGGUUCAAGAGUGUUUGUAGUUUUCUUAGUUUGAUCUAACCCCUCAACUUACAAAUGUUCUCUCCAGGGUUUGAUUCCCAGAAAAUGAAGAAAUCCUUGACAGUGUCAAUUGUAAGUAAGAUAUAAAGUUUCCUAAAACAUUUAAACUUUUGGGCAGACAGGCUUUCUAUCUAAUGAUCCUGGUCAGUGGAAGGUCUGAGGCAUGCUGCAGAUUGGGGACAGUUUAAAAUGUGUCCUAAUUGCUCCAUGCUGUGGGAAUGGCAAUGUGUCGUCCACAGGAGCAGUGUUGCGAGAUAUAUUCAGUUAAAUCAUUUGAAUGACCUUAUUUUCUCAAGAAACCUGGAGUAAAACAAACCUUCGUGGG